rnacentral:lncRNA from 1 species
GUAGAUUUUACCUGAGUAAUGCAAUAGAUUUUCGUAUUUUUCCCCUCUGAAACUUUGUGGAAAAGCUGAACUCCCUCUCAUCCCGCAUAUUAUUGUGGUUCAGAGAUGAAAACGUCAAAUGAAAGCGUACCACAAUUGCAUCCACAAGUUUCAGAGUCCACAGUUUCAGAGGCCCGAGGCUUGGAUGCCAUGUACCCCAUUCAUCAUUAGCAACAUUUAUCAAGCAAGACAGCAGAUGGUGGUAAAAAUGGGCUGGCACAGCGUAAUGAAAAACCAACUCAUCCAGCAAAUGUUUUACGCAGUGGAUGCCCUUCCAGCUGCAACCAAUCAAAGCCGCGCCGCGCCGAGGCUUGAACCAGCGACCUUCUUACUGUGAGGCGACAUCGCUACCCACUGCGCUACCGUGCCGCCCUCAUGAGACAUCCAGGCAUCUUUCUUCAUCCUACAGCAGGAGGCCUGGUUUAAUGAUUGCAUGUGAACAUCCUAUUUCCAGUCAGGAGGAACAGAAACACUAUUCUCUCUCAUCAGCCUAGCGCUCAAGAAACCACUCAUCCAUUACUCUGACUCCGGUUCUGGCUGAGCUGUUCGGAUCAUUGCAAAACAUUACAUCAUCACAGAGAGGGAACAUCGCUACUACGGCCAAAGCGGCUGCCAAGGCGUCUGCAAAGGACUGUACACUGCCUCCUUUGUGAUGUCCACAAUGCGGAUCCAUGGUGACCACUAGGUAGAGAGGACGUCCAAUAAGGGAACCAACGCUUCGUGUCUUCCACCACAGCAUGUGAUUACAUUUUGGGAGUCUCUUCUAGACUGUUCCUCCCUCCUGGUCAUCCUGCCACAGAGCUGGUAUUCUGGGCUCUAGUGUGCCCUCCUGGCCUCGCCACAGCAGGCAGCCUUUCAUUACAGCUGCCGGAGGAGGUGCCCUGGAGAUCCCCAUCGAAGACACCAUCACCACACCCCAAACACCAGUGCCUCUCGCUGCUCUGAACACCAACAACAGCAAAACACAUGCAUCAUCACUCAAGGGUGUUUUCCUGAGAUGAGCUCCGGCAUCCCUGUGACAGGAGCAAGGGGUUUGGGAACAGGACGGAUGGAUGUCAUGUGUAGAAACACAGCGCCCCCUGCUGAACACAUAAAAAGCUGUGACUGUCCAAAAGCUGGAAAAAGCUGCCUUCAAAGGAUACAUUUCAAGAUCCCUACAGAACUCAAACCCCGUCAUUAUGGUCAACUCUGCUCUGUGUCUCAAAUCCUUCGACGUAUGCAGCGAGCCACUGGACAAACUGGUAACAGCGGAAAAGCCAUCUACACA